ANCCCCGUGAUGGGAUGGAAACUGCUGACCUAGAGUAUNGGAGAGGAAAGUGGAAUUCCUAGUGUAGCGGUGAAAUGCGUAGAUAUUAGGAAGAACACCAGUGGCGAAGGCGACUUUCUGGACGAAAACUGACGCUGAGGCGCGAAAGCCAGGGGAGCGAACGGGAUUAGAUACCCCGGUAGUCCUGNCCGUAAACGAUGGGUACUAGGUGUAGGAGGUAUCGACCCCUUCUGUGCCGGAGUUAACGCAAAAAGUACCCCGCCUGGGGAGUACGACCGCAAGGUUGAAACUCAAAGGAAUUGACGGGGGCCCGCACAAGCGGUGGAGUAUGUGGUUUAAUUCGACGCAACGCGAAGAACCUUACCAGGUCUUGACAUUGAUGGACAGAACCAGAGAUGGUUCCUCUUCUUCGGAAGCCAGAAAACAGGUGGUGCACGGUUGUCGUCAGCUCGUGUCGUGAGAUGUUGGGUUAAGUCCCGCAACGAGCGCAACCCCUAUCUUAUGUUGCCAGCACGUAAUGGUGGGAACUCAUGAGAGACUGCCGCAGACAAUGCGGAGGAAGGCGGGGAUGACGUCAAAUCAUCGUGCCCCUUAUGACCUGGGCUACACACGUACUACAAUGGGAGUUAAUAGACGGAAGCGAGAUCGCGAGAUGGAGCAAACCCGAGAAACACUCUCUCAGUUCGGAUCGUAGGCUGCAACUCGCCUACGUGAAGUCGGAAUCGCUAGUAAUCGCAGGUCAGCAUACUGCGGUGAAUACGUUCCCGGGCCUUGUACACACCGCCCGUCACACCACGAAAGUCGGAAGUGCCCAAAGCCGGU
rnacentral:rRNA from 1 species